UCCGCUACCUAGGAGACCAAGUCAGUAGCGGGGGUGGAUACUCUGAGAGCAUAGAUGUCAGAAUAAGAUUAGGCAGGGCAAAGUUUAGAGAGCUCCUGCCUCUACUGGCAACAAAGGGCCUCUCUCUCAGAGUGAAGGUAGAUUGUAUGAUGCCUAUGUGCAAACAGCUAUGCUACAUGGCAGUGAA